ensembl:lncRNA
AUCUUCUGCUGAUUAACUGCGUUCAGCGUACGUUCUAACAACAACGUUAAACAAAAGAAACUUAUCUUAAAGAUUUCAGUUUGCAUAUUUGGGUGGGCGGGACUUUUAUUUAUUUUUUCAAUUGGAACCUGAUUGGCGUGUGAAAAGUGGGCAUGUCCCGAAAACAAACAUAAUGGCUGCUCUAGAUGCGAGGCUCUCUCUGCACUUACUCCACUGAUGUGUUUUUUGGUUCCACCCCCCCCCCCCCCCCCCCAUCCCCCAGGUAACUAGAGACGUAUUUUUAAAAGAAUUUAUUUUAAAAAUAGUCAGUCUGUUUUGGUUACGUGUUGGGGGGGGGGGGGGUGAGACAUGACGUAAAAUGAUUGGUUGAUAUAUUUUUGUCCCUCCCACAAUUCUACGGUGAUGUAAUAGAUUUAAAUAAAAUCGGAGGACGUUUAGAAGUGGUGAAAUGUCUCUGGAAGAUUACGGAUUUUUAAAAAAAGUGAUUAUUACAGAUCGUGAACAACAAAGAACCGGUUUCAUUUUGACUUCAGGUCGUUUUAUACGAAGUUUAAUUCAAUUUUAAAUACAUUUUAAUUCUCUUAAGUUGAACCGGUGCAGCUGGACAGUCAUUCUCACAACAGCUUCAGUCCCUGUAAUGCAAAUAUUUAAAUAAACACACACACACACACACACACACACACACACACACACACUUUUCUUCUUUAUCGUGCCUCUGAAGUCGAUUUUUUUUUUUUAUAAGCAGAAAGAACAAUGGGGGGAACGGUUUUGUGAUGUAAUAUCAUUUAUAAACAGUAUAUUUUCACACUUUGUAUUAUAAAACACUGGGAGAUCUUCUUUUUUUUUUUCUUCAAUCUAUUUAUUUCUGACCAAAAAACCUUUGGUGGCACUGAGAUUGAUUACUGCUGUUUAUUUCUCAUAAAUAUGUAGAUAAUUAUUUGAAAUAUUAUUGUGUUUAUGUGGAUUUGCAGUAGGUGUCGUGUAGUUGUAUUAUGUUCCUGAUUUGUUUUGUUUUUAAAGUCGUUUGAAUCGUACGUUUUAUCAUUUGUGUAUAAUGUCUUAACUUCACUGGUGAAUCGGAUGUUAAUUAAGCGGCCGGAGUUCUGGUCUUUACUACCUGGAUUUUUUUUUUUAUUAUUAUUAACAAAAAUCCGAAUUUGUGUAAAAGAUCAAAGUGCCUGUAGGACGCAAAUCCUAACUGUAAUUAACUGUAAUGAGACGUUUUACUGACACGAGUUGUUCUGUAAAGUUCUGACGUACAUAAAUGAUCUCAUGAAAAUAAAA